rnacentral:rRNA from 1 species
CCUACGGGAGGCAGCAGUAGGGAAUAUUGGACAAUGGGUGCGAGCCUGAUCCAGCCAUGCCGCGUGCAGGAAGAAGGCCUUCUGGGUUGUAAACUGCUUUUGCCGGGGGAUAAAAGACCCAUGCGUGGGGAAUUGAAGGUACCCGGUGAAUAAGCCACGGCUAACUACGUGCCAGCAGCCGCGGUAAUACGUAGGUGGCGAGUGUUGUCCGGAUUUAUUGGGUUUAAAGGGUGCGUAGGCGGCCCCGUAAGUCAGUGGUGAAAUACGGCAGCUCAACUGUCGAGGUGCCAUUGAUACUGCGGGGCUUGAGUACAGUCGAGGUAGGCGGAAUUGACGGUGUAGCGGUGAAAUGCUUAGAUAUCGUCAAGAACACCGAUAGCGAAGGCAGCUUGCUAGGCUGUAACUGACGCUGAGGCACGAAAGUGCGGGGAUCAAGCAGGAUUAGAUACCCUGGUAGUCCGCACAGUAAACGAUGGUCACUCGGUGUUGGCGGUACACGGCCAGCGCCUUAGCGAAAGCGUUAAGUGACCCACCUGGGGAGUACGCCCGCAAGGGUGAAACUUAAAUGAAUUGACGG